rnacentral:lncRNA from 1 species
UGCAAGUUUCUGCUCUCACUUCUGGCAAUAAAAAUAGUUACUUGAUAUAGUUGGGGAAAAAAGAAAGUUUGUGAGCCAUUUUGUUUAAGCUACCCUCAUAGCUAUUUUCCUCGUCAAGUUACUUUCUAAGACUUCAAGAUGGAAAAUUCAACUUUCCUCUGCUAUUAUUGUGAUAAAGAUUUUUUUUUUUUUCAAUGGAUAUGACGACAAUGUCACUCUACCCAUGUCUGAACUCUGAAUAAGUUGGAAGUUUUGACCUCAAAUAAGUUAUCUCAAUAUCUUAAUAUUUGGAUUUGAACAACCAGCUCAAAGAUAGCCUGACAUAAGUUGGAAGUUCACAGUUCUGCUUCAAAGUAUGACCUUAUGUGGAAUCAUAAAUCUGAAUGACCAUUGAACUAGAAGUUCAUCAUUACCUCUUAAGAAAACGUUUUUGGAUUGCCUCUAUAUUUUAAUCACUUAAAGCUGUUUAUAAUCUCUUUUAAUUGGUGUUUAUGAGAUCAUCAUUAGGAUUUCAGCUAAUGAUUUCACAUGCUUACUGAUGGCAAAUUGCUCGUUAGUUUUCCUUUUCUGAGAAAAAAUCAUUUUGAAGGCUACCUUUUAGCUACAGAAUAAACUUGAAUGAAUUUCUUUUGUUUUGUAUUGUAUCGAACUUCAGCUUUCAGCUGAAUGAUCCAAUAGCCAUCAUGAACACCUACUUGGUUCUUUGGCCUAGCUAUCUGACAUUUUCUUAGUGGUUAAUAGAUUUAUUUUGCACUAAUUUUAUUUUUUAGGGAGCCACCAUUGUAGAUCAACGUGUUUGCAUAACACACUGGGGAACUUUUGUGGAUGAAUUUGAUGCUUGGGGAAGUUCAUCAAAGGAUGAAGGAAACACCAGCUCAGCGGUAAUAUCUUUACUUGUGGUAGCAUGCUGAGUGCUCUUUUUACUAUCCCAUUUAUUUUGUAUAUAAGUUUACAAAUUCUUAAGCUCAUCGGUUUAAGUUGAGUACGGAAAAAUUUAUCUAAUCUCAAAAUUUGAAAUAUUUCUUCAAAAACUCAAUAAGAGGUAAAGGAUAGCCAUUUCCUCUUGCAACCUACUGGACAGAAAACCAAAAGUACAGUAGUAUGUUUUGGAUGUAUCAAUACACGAUACAUCCAGAGUUCAACAAGCAUGUGUUGGUCAAUGUCCAGUUAAAACAUAUCUGCAAGUUACUAAGACAAUACAAUAGAUAUUAAUUGCCAAUAUAAGCAACCCAACUGGGUGAUUUAAUAAAAAACUUGAUGUUUAUCAUACAAGUGAAGGGGUUGAAGUGCAUGUCAAUGAUGCAACCAAGCCAAAUCACAUCUUUAUAUGGUCAUGAUACCCUUGUAUCUAAGAAGUCCUAAAUUGGGUGCGUAGUUUUGGAAUUGGAUGCCACCAUGCUGUACAGCUUGCUCUUCCUUGGAUGCACUAUCUAUUAUUUUUAAUACUGAUUGUGAACAUUGCACCCUGCUUAAUAAUUGUUCAUAGUAAGUGAAAUGACACGGUACCUAAUAGUUUUCUAUUAGUGUAUCUUACCUUUUGAACCAACUCUUCUACAUUCUUGGCAGGGAAUUCCCUUCAACCAGUUUGUUUCUACCCCUGGAGAAGCAGUAACUGUUGCUCAGGAAGUUGUUAAAACAAUGUUAUCCAAGGGAUACAUUUUGGGAAAAGAUGCAAUGGUCAAGGCCAAAGCUUUUGACGAAUCUCAUCAAGUCUUAGCUACCGCAGCUGCCAAGGUGUCCGAGCUAAGCAAUAGAAUCGGGCUCACUGACAAGAUUUAUGCAGGAAUGGAAACUGUGAAAUGCGUGGAUGAGAAGUACCAUGUUUCAGAAUUCACCAAAUCAGCUGCAUCAGUUACUGGGACAGCAGCUGUUUCUGCAGCAACUUUUACAGGGAAAACAGCUGUAGCAGCUGCUAAUGCUGUAGUCAACAGCACCUACUUUGCUAAGGGAGCUCUUUGGGUUUCAGGUGUUUUGACACAGGCAGCCGAAGCUGCAGCUGAUAUGGGCAAGAAGGCUAGCACAUGAGUGAAGUUUUUCUUUCGAACAACAGUAAGGGUCUUUUACUUUUGUUCUUGUAUAAAAAUAAAUAUUAGUCAUUUUAGAUGCAGCUACUCAUAGACAGAUUACCUUCUAAUGCUUUAAUGAAUAGCAGCUACUAUGCUAAGGGAGCACUUUGUGUUUUUGGCUUUUGACAUGUGAAGCUUAUAAGUUGUUUUUUAGCUACUGGAGUUCAAUGCCCAGGAUUGUGCACAUUUUUGGACUUUAGGCUCAAGAUACAUCUUAUGGAUCAUUGAUGUUUAUACCUGACAUUUUCAGCUCUUGGUUUUUUUUUUUAAUUAUGGUGGUUGAUAUCACAAUUCUUCAACUGCAUGACUUAGAUGGUCUGCCGUUAAUACAUCUUAUUCACUGAAAGUCAUAACAUGCAUUGCAACUUUCUUAGAGGUUGUUUCUUUGGUGGGUUACCUUUAUGAUGUUCUAACAUGUGUAAAUGGAAACUAAGCGAUAGGAUGCAGAUCGAUUCUCUUGGAUUCUUAUUGUUGGCAGCUAUGUGAUGGUGCAUUUUACAGCUUGCUGGUUCUGAAUACAGUUCCUUGACAAAUAAAUUGUCAAAUCUCUUGAAUAAUUGACCUUUGUUGCUAUAUGCUUGGAGUUACAUUUAUUUAUAGGGAUCAUAAGCUGGGCAGUUACUAUUCCUGAUGUGUUGGAUAGAUUGUGUUAUGAUGCAAUCUGGUUCCUUUCCGACGACCACAAAGCUGAACCAUCAUUUAUGCUGGUCGGUCAGCAAAAGUUUGAGCAUUCGACGCCCAGGACUGGUCUUGCAAGGCAAGUAUACCGGAAAAUAAGUUUCUCUAUACAAUUGACUGCCACUAACAUCCAAGAAUGCUAGAUCUUUGUAUUGCGACCGUCUUAUGAGCACAUCGGAGGAGGGUUGGCUACUUGACUUCUUGACAAAUGUGAAUGAUAAUGCGUACUUUUCAAGUCUUUGGUCACACAUUAACUCAUUUCUAAUCUUUCUUAUCGCGUUUUUUUGUCGGCUAGCCACUUAAUGAUAUAUUUCUUUACCCUACGAAAAUGCAGACCCACUAUGUCUCUCUUUAGUCCGCACAGCCUAAUAGCUCCUUUAAUCCGCCAAAAAUUGUGCCUCAAGAAGCAACCUUUAUCUUCUACCAUCCAUCUUUAAUGCCUCGUUUUGCGAAACUUGUCCUAAAAGCAUGAAUCAUCUUCCAAAAUGCCACCUAUAAAUACUUUCCGUAAUUAAGCUAUACAUUUUGCAUCACCUUAACCACUUUCCGAACUCAAUAUUUGAAUGAUUAUGGAUAGAAAAAUCUUAGGCAAGGGCCCUUGUUUCUCACAAUAAGACAAGCAGAACCAUGGCCAGUGUUGUGAUUUUGUUGUUGGACUGUAAAGGAACUUGUGAACUUGGAUUCAGCAACGGGAUUUGAAAUGAGAUGAUGAGUAGGUAUAGACAUUGUUUGGUAAUGUAGCUGCGGGUGAGGUUCACUCGCAACCACAUAUAUCAGUGUUUGGUAAUAGAAAAAAAUAGUGAGUUUUCUUGGUAGGACCCACCAAUUUUCGGUGUCGUGCCACAGGUUUGGAGAAGCAGCAUUUGAUGCUUCUCGUGCUGAUUUUUCAAUGAACAGUGGAGCCAUGCUCCACUGCCGCACUGUUCACUAAAGUGAACAGUUUUUUUUUUUAAAAAAAACCAGUGUAGUUAAUUGAUUUCACUUGAACUGUUCACGUGAACGUGAACGUGAACAACAAUUUUUUUUUGUUUUUUUAAAAAAUUAGUUUAAGGUGAAUUAAAUUUACUCGUACUGUAAUCUCAAUUUUAUUCCUGAUAAUACUUUACCUAAUUUUAUUGCACGCUCAAAAAAUCAUGAAAACUGUAGUUCUUGUCGAAUGAAUUUUGUACGUAAUGAAAUUGUAAAUUUUUUUAAAAAAAAUUGAGUUUUACUCGAAAAACUAGUAUUUAAUAUUAUUUAAUAACACUACAUAAAUUAGAAGGAUAUCGCAUGAUGACAUAGCAUUUGUGGAAUUUGAUCGCAAUUCCAAUUAUGUUCUUGCCGGGUCCGACCCAGUUAAAAAAAAUUCAGUUUUUAUUUUUAUUUUAAUUGUGUUUUAUUCCAAAAAAUAGAAGGAUAUCGCUUGAUGACAUAACAAAAAAUUCAAUUUUUGUUGUUGCGUGCUUAAGAAACCAUGAAAAAUAUAGUCAUUGUUGGAUAGAUUUCGUAUGUGAUGACUUUGCAUAUAGUUUAAUGGAAUAAUAAUCAAAUUUUGAUAUCAAUAUUAUUUAUUUCAUGAUGUAAUAAUAGUAGUUAAAUCUACAAUAUUUAAAUUAAAAAUGUUUUUUAAUUAUUUUAUAACCUUAAUUUGAAAAGCAUUUUUUUAACCAAACAUUAAACUACUUUUUGUCCAACCUCAAUUUCAACCACAGUUUUAACCAAACAUAUAUUUUUCCAAACCAACCUCAACUAAAAGUAUUUUUUUAUAAAACAACUUUUUUAAAACCACAACCAUAACAGCAAUCGCAAUACCAAACACACUUAUAGAAGCUGUUUGGAUCCCUUCGCCUGAUUUAUGUUGUUCUAUUCAUGUGUUUUUUUAUAUGAAAUCUCCAUUCAUUAAUUUGGCAUUGCAUGAAUAUAAUUAUAAUAUACCUUGGAGUUGUUUGAGAGUGUGAUAACAAUUGUUUAAGAGUGUGAUGACGAUUGUUUUUCAACGUAUUUUUUACUCGAGAAUACAUCAAAAUAAUAUAUUUUUUUAUUUUAAAAAAAUUAUAUUUGUUAUCAAAACAUCAAAAUAUCUAAAAAUAUAUAAAAAAAUUAAUUUUCAACAAAAAAAAAAUUCAAACUUUAACCAACUCAUUUCAUAACGCAAUACUAAACAGGAAAUUAGUAACUCAUGGGAUCUGGCGCCGGAGGCCAUGCACCGAGUUGCCGACCUCCGCAAAUGAUUUGGGAAGAAUUUUGGAAUAGAAUCUUUGAUGUCAUGAGUCCAUUUCUGUUUCAAUUUUUUGUGGUCUCCGCAGCUUGGAUAAUCAGGUCACCUUUUAGAAGAUGAGAGCAUAUCGAGUGAAAAAGACACACUAUGAUGAUCCCAUGAAAUAUUUUGUGCAGUAUUUGACGCAGCAUGUUUUACUUGGAUGCACAUUUUAUUCCAGCACCCUUCGUCUUCACUAAGGUUGAGCCUGUUGUGUCUCUCAGCUGGUUGCUGCAAUCUUUUUUUUUUUUUUUAGUUUAACGGGGGUGUCCGGGCUAGCUUGCGCGCACCUCGACUAAUCUCACGGGCUCUGAAGUUAACGACCAUGUAAGCCUCCAGUAGCCAUCAUAUGAGCAACCACAGGACUCGAACCUGAGACCACAGAGGGAGCAAACAUCUUGGUCCCAAGCUCUUACCACUGGCCACCACACCUAGAUGGUUGGUUGCUGCAAUCUUGAAAUGCUUUGUUGGAACCGUUUUCAACGAACUUCAGACUUCAGACCAUUGCUUAAAGCUGCUUUUCAGUGAAGCUGUAAUAUUGAUUAUGCGUAGAGUGUCGCAUUGCUGCUGUAGCUGAGUCUUCACUAAGGUUGUAGUUUUAUUUCAUAAGCCCAAAACAUGUAAAAUAACUUGUUUUAAAUUUGGACUAUAAUCUCUUUAUAUGUUAUUAAAGGAUUAAUGAAGAUAUAUAUGAAACAAUUUAUAAAACAUGCGUGAUAUUAUUAACCAUAUGUCAUUAUAAAUGCAGACGAGCAAUGGCCUAAUAUUGAAAAGUAAAAUGAAUUAAAAAAUUAAAAAUCUUUAUAUUAAUUUAUCUCAACAAUUUAAACAUAUCUUAAUUAAUUUAAAGCAAUUACAAGUGCAUGCAAGUUAGUUAAUUACUGAAAUAAGGUGUUAAUUAACAUAAAAACAAAUUAUGGGUUUUAUUUAAAUAAAUACUAAUAAUUAAGAAAAUAUUUAUUCAUGAAACAAAAUAAAUUAAAUUUUUAGAUUAAAAUAUAUAAUAAUCUACACUAAAAAUAUUUGAUAAGAUUUACACUUACAAUAUAGCUAAAACAUGCGGGGAAAACACUAUAUAGCCUUCCUCACAUGUUAAUGUAAAUUGCUACAAUGCUUUUAUUUUAUUUUAUUUUUUUUUUAUUUUCCCCAAUUUUUAUUCUUUUUUUUCAUUUUUUUUUGUUUUUUUCUAAAAUUAUUUUUGUCAAUUUUAUUUUUUUAAUAUUGAGUUGGUUAAGAAUUUAGCUUUGUAAUUCUUUUCCUUUAAAACAUUGUGAAUUGCUACAGCGUUUCCCCACAUAGUUUUUUUUGUUAUGAUUUUUUUUUUAAAUUAUUUGUCGAUUUUAUUUUUUUAAUAUUGAGUUAGUUGAGAAUUACAGUUAUAGCUUUUUCUUUAAAACACUAUGAAUUGCUACAACGUUUCCUCACAUAGGUUUUUUUGUUAUGAUUUUUUUCAAAAUUAUUUGUCGAUUUUAUUAUUUUAAUAUUGAGUUAGUUGAGAAUUACAGCUGUAGCUUUUCUCACAAAACACUAUGCAUUGCUAAAGUGUUUCCCCACAUGAUUUUUUUUUUUGUUUUUUAUGAUUUUUUUCAAAAUUAUAUUUGUUGAUUUUAUUUUUAAUUAUUAAACUAAUUGAGAAUUACAAUUACAAUAUGUGGGGAAAACACUGUAGCUUUCCUUACAAAUUACUGUGGAUUGCUACAGUGUUUCCCCAUAAGGUUUUUUUUGUUAAGGUUUUUUCCCAAAUUGUCUUUGUCGAUUUUAUUUUUUUAAUAUUGAGCUGGUCGAGAAUUACAAUUACAAGAAAUUACAAGUAGGGCUAAAUCAUGUGGGAGAAAGCAUUAUAGUUUUCCUCACAAAACACUAUGGAUUGCUAUAGUGUUUCCCUACAUGUUUUUUUUUCCUGUUUUUUUUAGUUUUUUUUUGUUAUGAUUUUUUUCAAAAUUAUAUUUGUCGAUUUUAUUUUUUUAAUAUUAAGCCGGUUGAGAAUUACAAUUACAAGUAAGGCUAAAUUAUGUGGGGAAAAGCAUUGUAGCUUUCCUCAUAAAACAUUGUGGAUUGUUAUAGUGUUUCCCCACAAGGUUUUUUUUUCCUUUUUUUGUGUUUUUUUUUUGUUAUCAUUUUUUUCAAAAUUAUCUUUGUCAAUUUUAUUAUUUUAAUAUUGAGCUGGUUAUAAUUUAGCUUUGUAAUUAAAAAAAAAACAUUAUGGAUUGCUACAAUGUUUCCCCCACAUGGUUUUUUUGUUAUGGUUUUUUCCAAAACUGUCUUUGUCGAGAUUAUUUUUUUAAUAUUGAGCUGGUCGAGAAUUACAAUUACAAGUAAGGCUAAAUCAUGUGGGGAAAACACUGUAGCUUUCCUCACAAAACACUGUGAAUUGCUAUAGUGUUUCUCCACACGGUUUUUUUUCCUGUUUUUUUAUGUUUUCUUUUUUGUUAUGAGUUUUUUCAAAAUUAUCUUUGUCGAUUUUUUUUUUAAUAUUGAACUGGUUGAGAAUUUAGCUAUAUAAUUUUAUUUUCUUUAAAACAUUGUGGAUUGCUACAGUGUUUCCCCACAUGGUUUGUUUUUGUUUUUGUUUAUGUUUUUUUUUGUAAAAUUAUCUUUGUUGAUUUUAUUUUCUUAAUAUUAAGCUGGUUGUUACAAUUACAAUAUGUGGAAAAGCACUGUAUAUUUCCUCACAAAUUACUAUGAAUUGCUACAGUGUUUUCCCCAUAAAGUUUUUUUUUUGUUUUUUUAAUGUUUUUUUUUCUAAAAUUGUCUUUGUCAAUUUUAUUUUUUUAAUAUGAAGCUGGUUGAGAAUUACAAUUACAACUAAGGCUAAAUCAUAUGGGAAAAGCAAGUUUUUCUCACAAACACUGUGGAUUGUUAUAGUAUUUCACCACAAGGUUUUUUUUUUCCCUUUUUUUGUGUUUUCUUUUUUGAUAUCAUUUUUUCCAAAAUUAUCUUUGUCAAUUUUAUUAUUAUUUUUUGAGGUGGUUAUAAUUUAGCUUUGUAAUUAUUUUUUUAAAAAAAUAUUAUGGAUUGCUACAGUGUUUCCCUACAAGGUUUUUUUUUGUUAAGGUUUUUCCAAAAUUAUCUUUGUCGAUUUUAUUUUUUUAAUAUUGAACUAGUUGAGAAUUACAAUUACAAGUAAUGCUAAAUCAUGUGGGGAAAGCAUUGUAGCUUUCCUCACAAAACACUGUGGAUUGCUAUAGUAUUUCGCCACACGGUUUUUUUCCUAUUUUUUCUUUUGUUUUUUUUUUGUUAUGAUUUUUUAAAAAAUUAUCUUUGUCGAUUUUAUUUUUUAAAUUGAGCUGGUUGAGAAUUUAGCUUUAUAAUUUUUUUUCUUUAAAACAUUGUGGAUUGCUACAGUGUUUCACCACAUGGUUUUUUUUGUUUUUGUUUUUUUAUGAUUUUUUUCAAAAUUAUCUUUGUUGAUUUUAUUUUUUAAUAUUAAGCUGCUUGUUACAAUUAUAAUAUUUGGGGAAAGCAGUGUAGCUUUCCACACAAAUUACUAUAGAUUGCUACAGUGGUUUCACCACAUGUUUUUUUUUUCUAAAAUUGUGUUUGUCGAUUUUUUUUUAAUAUUGAGGUUGUCGAGAAUUACAAUUACAAUAAAGUUAAAUCAUGUGGAGAAAGCACUAUAACUUUCCUCACAAAACAUUGUUGAUUGCUAUAGUGUCUCCCCACAAUAUUUUUUUUUCUUAUGAUUUUUUCAAAAUUAUCUUUGCCAAUUUUAUGUUUUUAAUAUUGAGCUGGUUGAGAAUUACAAUGACAAGUAAUUACAAGUAAGGCUAAAUCAUGUGGUGAAGCACUGUAGCUUUCCACAAAAAACAUUGUGUAUUACUACAGUGUUUCCAACAUGGUUUUUUUUUCUAUUUUUUUGUGUUUUUUUUGUUAUGAAUUGUUUCAAAAUUAUCUUUAUCGAUUUUAUUUUCUUAAUAUUGAGUUGGGUGAGAAUUUAGCUUUGUAAUUUUUUUAUUUAAAACAUUGUGGAUUGUUGUAGUGUUCCCCCAUAUUGUUUUUUUAUUAUAAUUUUUUCCAAAAUUAUCUUUGUCAGUUUUAUUUUCUUAAUAUUGAGUUGGUUGAGAAUUACAAUUACAAUAAUGCUAAAUCAUGUGGGAAAAGCACUGUAGCUUUCCUCACAAAACACUGUGGAUUGCUAUAGUGUUUCUCCACAUGGUUUUUUUUCCUGUUUUUUUUUUGUUUUCUUUUUUGUUAUGAUUUUUUUAAAAAUUAUCUGUCGAUUUUAUUUUUUUAAUAUUGAGCUGGUUGAGAAUUUAGCUUUAUAAUUUUUUCUUUAAAACAUUGUGGAAUGCUACAAUGUUUCCUCACAUAGUUUUUUUUUUUUGUUUUUUAUGCUUUUUUUAAAAAUUAUCUUUUUCAAUUUUAUUUUUUAAUAUUAAGCUGCUUGUUACAAUUACAAUAUGUGGGGAAAGCAGUGUAACUUUCCUCACAAAUUACUAUGGAUUGCUACAGUGUUUUCACCAUACGGUUUUUUUUAUGUUUUUUUUACUAAAAUUGUCUUUGUUGAUUUAUUUUUUUAAUAUUAAGCUAGUUGAGAAUUACAAUUACAAGAAAAGCUAAAUCAUAUGAGGAAAGCAUUGUAGCUUUUCCCACAAAACAAUGUGGAUUGCUAUAGUGUUACCUCACAUGGUUUUUUUCCUUUUUUUGUGUUUUCUUUUUUGUGAAGAUUUUUUCCACAAUAAUCUUUGUCGAUUUUAUUAUUUUAAUAUUGAGCUGGUUAGAAUUUAGCUUUGUAAUUUCUUUUCUUUAAAACAUUAUGAAUUGCUACAGUGUUUCCCCACAUGGUUUUUUUUAUGUUUUUUUUUCUAAAAUUAUCUUUGUCAAUUUUAGUUUUUUCAAUAUUGAGUUUUUUGAGAAUUACAAUUACAAUAAAGCUAAAUCAUGUGGAGAAAGUACUGUAGCUUUCCUCACAAAACACUGUGGAUUGCUACAGUGUCUCCCACAUAGUUUUUUUUUUCUUAUGAUUUUUUCAAAAUUAUCUUUGUCGAUUUUAUGUUUUUAAUAUUGAGGUGGUUGAGAAUUAUAAUUACAAGUAAUUACAAUUAAAGCUAAAUCAUGUGGGGAAGCACUGUAGCUUUCCUCAAAAACACUGUGGAUUGCGACAGUGUUUCCAACUUAGUUUUUUUUUUUUUCUGUUUUUUUGUUAUGAUUUUUUUCAAAAUUAUCUUUGUCAAUUUUAUUUUUUUAAUAUUGAGCUGGGUGAGAAUUUAGCUUUGUAAUUUGUUUUUCUUUAAAACACUGUGAUUGUUGUAGUGUUCCCCCACAUUGUUUUUUUUUUUGUUUUUUUAUUAUGAUUUUUUUCAAAAUUAUCUUUGUCGAUUUUAUUUUUUUAAUAUUGAGUUGAUUGAGAAUUACAAUUAUAAUAAGACUAAAUCAUGUGGGGAUAGCAUUGUCGCUUUCCUCACAAAACACUAUGGAUUGCUACAUGCUUCCCUACAUGGUUUUUUUUUUUAUGAUUUUUUUCAAAAUUUUCUUUGUCGAUUUUUUUUUAAUAUUGAGCUGGUAAAUAAUUUAUCUUUGUAAUUUUUUUUAUUAACAGAAAAGCUAAAUCAUGUAGCAAAAAGAUAAAUCAUGUUGGGAAAACACUGUAUUUUUUGUCACAAAACAUUAUGGAUUACUACAAAUCAUUUCAUUCAGUUUUUAAGUUUUUGAUUACUAAUACAACUUUUUUUUCUGUUAUAAAAUAUUUUUAAUUUUUAUUAUUUAUAUAAUAUUUAUUUAUAAUUAUAAUAUUACUAAUACAACUUUUUUUUCUGUUAUAAAAUAUUUUUAAUUUUUAUUAUUUAUCUAAUAUUUAUUUAUAAUUAUAAUAUUUAUUUUAUAAACCCACGAUCAUGCCGUAGACAGAGAUUUUCUAUUUUAUCUAACGUCUAACAUACACGAAACAAAAUCGAUACACAUUAAAUACAAAAUAUGGAGUCCGGCCCAUGUCUAAUUCAGUCCAGUCAAAUUAACUACCUCAUUAACCAUUUAACUAAAAGUAUCUAACAUCACACGUGGUGUUGGUGGCGCGUGGGGGUAACAGCUUGAUUAUAAAUUUGUCGGUUGGCACUUAGCAACUUCUAGACGUUAGUUACUCGCUCACCUCUACCUCUUUCUCUGUACUUAAUUUCUCUCUCCCUGGUUAACUAGCUAAUCAUCUCAGGUAUGCAAACCUAAUCCAAUAUUUUUAUUUUCAUUUUUUUGAUAAUCACUUGAUUCUUUCUGAUUACACGUAAAUUUCGAGUUCAUUAUUUUCUAAUGUUUUCUGAUGAAUUAAUGAAUUGUUGUCUUUUUUUUAUUACAAAUAAUCCCCCAAGUAUCAAGAAAUGCAUGUCGAUCAAUUCUUUUCAUGGGUUAUUUCCACUUGUUAGAUAGCCUGGUAAUAUGGGCGUUUCUUUAAUUUUUCUUUACCUUGGAAAUAUGUUUUGAAGAUUUGAAGAGAUUUGAAGAUUUAUGCAUGACUGUAGACUAAUCUAUUCUAGAAAUUCAUGUUAACAGUUCAAGGAAGAGCAUCUAAUGAUUUUUUGUUGUGCUAUUGGGAUGUGAGGGAGGGGCCGCUGGAGGUUAUGGACCUUAGGAUUGCAAGAUAUGGCUAGGCUGAAUGGAAAUGAUAAUGCAUAGUGUCUUAUUCUGAUAUUUUUCUUAUCUUAACUAUCCUUUAAAAACUUGCCUUUUCUGUGUAUAUAAUUGCAUCAUCUCUAUAAGGUGUUGAAGGGAGCAAUGAUGAUUUCUAGAAACAAAAAUUGGCUGUGUUAGAAUAUGUGCUAAGAUUUUAUAUAAUACCUCCUCAAUCAGGUCAACUUAUAUCUAGCUUGCACAUUGUAAAACUUCACCAUGUAUCCCGGUGGUUACACUGCUGAGGUUACAAGCUUAUCUCCUAAAGCAGAAGAGAAGGAUGUGUACGAAUUUUUUUCUCACUGUGGUGCUAUUGAGCAUGUUGAAAUCAUCAGGUAAUAUGCGGCCACCGAGCUUCUUGCUUGCAAAUUAUGAAUUUACUCCUAAGAGCAAUUUCCAUCAGAGUAUAUUUACAAAUCAUCAGUAUAUUUAUGCCAUUAUAUACUUGAAAAACUGAUUAGUGAAUGCUUCUUUUGUAAAAGGUCAAAAAAUGAAAUGCAUAUGUUUUACCCUUUCAAUGAAUCAGUGGUUUAGAUAGAUAGAUUGAUAAUAUUAAUUUAUGACAUGUUUGGAGUCUAACUCCAUCCCUAAAAUAAUUGCAAUUCCUUUGCUAGAGGAUUCCAAUAAUUGUCCUUUCCAUUGAACCAAGAUUGGUAUGUUUAAAGACCUCUAAUGCAGUCUCUGAAAUUGAAUUGCUUCUUGAACAAAAAUUGAAAUUAAGGUUUGAAUUCCUCAUGUGUUUCUCAUAAAAGCUUUUCCAUUAUUCAGUAUUCAUUCCUCUGCAUUUCUUUAUUUAUUCGGUAUUGUCUAUUUCCAUUAUUUGGUAAUCGUUCCUCUGUAUUUCUUUAUUCAUCUGAUAAACUAGGAAUGUAUUUUCCCACGCUUUUUGUCACAAAAUAUGAGGUCAAACAUUACUAUCUACAAUCAUUUAAUGUAUUCUUAGUUGCUCACUUAUUUUUCUAUAUUUAAGUAUAAAAUAUUAUGGAAAAGAGGCAUUUGAUGAGAUGUCAACAUUCUGUUCUGGUAACAAUUACAAAUAACAGGAACUUGCACAUAUCAAGAGAUGAGUCAAAGGGUGUUGAUAGGCCAGUGUUAAGUGCUAUCCCUAUGUUUCUUGGAUUGUUGUACUCUUGCCUAGCAGCUUUUGGUUCUGGAGCCUGCAUUAUGUUUGCACAAUCAAAUCACACACAUCUAUUCAUUGUUAUUUUUCCUUGGUCAUAAACUGUAUUUGACUCGAGGAAUGCUUACUCUGAAAACAGAUCCGGUGAAUAUGCUUGUACUGCAUACGUAACAUUUAAAGAUGCCUACGGUCUUCAAACUGCUAUCCUGCUCAGUGCAAGUUUCUGCUCUCACUUCUGGCAAUAAAAAUAGUUACUUGAUAUAGUUGGGGGGAAAAAAAAAAGUUUGUGAGCCAUUUUGUUUAAGCUACCCUCAUAGCUAUUUUCCUCGUCAAGUUACUUUCUAAGACUUCAAGAUGGGAAAUUUCAACUUUCCUCUGUUAUUAUUGUGAUAAAGAUUUUUUUUUUUCAAUGGAUAUGAUGACAAUGUCACUCUACCCAUGUCUGAACUCUGAAUAAGUUGGAAGUUUUGACCUCAAAUAAGUUAUCUCAAUAUCUUAAUAUUUGGAUUUGAACAACCAGCUCAAAUAUAGCCUGACAUAAGUUGGAAGUUCACAGUUCUGCUUCAAAGUAUGACCUUAUGUGGAAUCAUAAAUCUGAAUGACCAUUGAACUAGAAGUUCAUCAUUACCUCUUAAGAAAACGUUUUUGGAUUGCCUCUAUAUUUUAAUCACUCAAAACUGUUUAUAAUUCUCUUUUAAUUGGUGUUUAUGAGAUCAUCAUUAGGAUUUCAGCUAAUGAUUUCACAUGCUUACUGAUGGCAAAUUGCUCGUUAGUUUUCCUUUUCUGAGAAAAAAUCAUUUUGAAGGCUACCUUUUUAGCUACAGAAUAAACUUGAAUGAAUUUCUUUUGUUUUGUAUUGUAUCGAACUUCAGCUUUCAGCUGAAUGAUCCAAUAGCCAUCAUGAACACCUACUUGGUUCUUUGGCCUAGCUAUCUGACAUUUUCUUAGUGAUUAAUCUGACAUUUUCUUAGUGAUUAAUAGAUUUAUUUUGCUCUAAUUUUAUGUUUUAG